AGUGAACGCUGGCGGUAGGCCUAACACAUGCAAGUCGAACGGCAGCACAGUAAGAGCUUGCUCUUACGGGUGGCGAGUGGCGGACGGGUGAGGAAUACAUCGGAAUCUACUUUUUCGUGGGGGAUAACGUAGGGAAACUUACGCUAAUACCGCAUACGACCUACGGGUGAAAGCAGGGGAUCUUCGGACCUUGCGCGAUUGAAUGAGCCGAUGUCGGAUUAGCUAGUUGGCGGGGUAAAGGCCCACCAAGGCGACGAUCCGUAGCUGGUCUGAGAGGAUGAUCAGCCACACUGGAACUGAGACACGGUCCAGACUCCUACGGGAGGCAGCAGUGGGGAAUAUUGGACAAUGGGCGCAAGCCUGAUCCAGCCAUACCGCGUGGGUGAAGAAGGCCUUCGGGUUGUAAAGCCCUUUUGUUGGGAAAGAAAAGCAGCAGGUUAAUACCCCGCUGUUCUGACGGGACCCAAAGAAUAAGCACCGGCCAACUUCGU
rnacentral:rRNA from 1 species